rnacentral:tRNA from 1 species
GCCCAUUUGGUGGAAUGGUAGACACGGCAGACUUAAAAUCUUCUUCCUAUUAGGAAUAUCGGUUCAAGUCCGAUAAUGGGUA